UACGUAGGCAGCGAGCGUUUGUUCGGAAUUACUGGGCGUAAAGAGUGUGUAGGCGGUGGUUCCCAGUCUGUUGUGAAACGUCUCCCGGCUUAACUGGGAGGGUGCAGCGGAAACUGGAAUGCUCGAGUAUGGGAGAGGUAAGCGGAAUUCCUGGUGUAGCGGUGAAAUGCGUAGAUAUCAGGAGGAACACCUGUGGUGUAGACAGCUUACUGGACCAUCACUGACGCUGAGACACGAAAGCGUGGGUAGCAAAGCAGG
rnacentral:rRNA from 1 species